AACGAACGCUGGCGGCAGGCUUAACACAUGCAAGUCGAGCGCCCCGCAAGGGGAGCGGCAGACGGGUGAGUAACACGUGGGAACCUUCCUAGAGGUACGGAACAACUCAGGGAAACUUGAGCUAAUACCGUAUACGCUCUUGCGAGGAAAGAUGUUAUCGCCUUUAGACGGGCCCGCGUCGGAUUAGCUAGUGGGUGGGGUAACGGCCUACCAAGGCGACGAUCCGUAGCUGAUCUGAGAGGAUGAUCAGCCACACUGGGACUGAGACACGGCCCAGACGCCUACGGGAGGCAGCAGUGGGGAAUCUUGGACAAUGGGCGCAAGCCUGAGCCAGCCAUGCCGCGUGAGUGAAGAAGGCCUUCGGGUUGUAAAGCUCUUUUGCCAGGGACGAUAAUGACGGUACCUGGAGAAUAAGCCCCGGCAAACUUCGUGCCAGCCGCCGCGGUAA
rnacentral:rRNA from 1 species